rnacentral:miRNA from 15 species
GGGUGCCAUUUCCAAAGCCAGGAGU